rfam:Oryza glumipatula chromosome 5, whole genome shotgun sequence.
AAUAAGUGCAGUUUUAUACUUUUCAUAUCUAACGUUUGACCGUUCGUCUUAUUUGAAUUUUUUUUACGAUUAAUAUUUUUAUUGUUAUUAGAUUAUAAAACAUGAAUAAUACUUUAUGUGCGACUAACUUUUUUUUAAUUUUCUCAUAAAUUUUUCAAAUAAGACGGACGGUCAAACAUUGACACGGAUUUCCACAACUGUACUUAUU